UACAGAGGGGGCAAGCGUUAUUCGGAAUUAUUGGGCGUAAAGGGCGCGUAGGCGGCCUGGCAAGUGGAAGGUGAAAUCCCUCGGCUUAACCGAGGAACUGCCCUCCAAACUGCUUGGCUUGAGACCGGGAGAGGUGAGUGGAAUUCCCAGUGUAGCGGUGAAAUUCGUAGAUAUUGGGAAGAACACCGGUGGCGAAGGCGGCGAGCUGGCCUGUUACUGACGCUGAGGCGCGACAGCGUGGGGAGCAAACAGG
rnacentral:rRNA from 1 species